GAGGGGGAGGUUAAACCAACAAGAACUGCUAAUUCUCGUAUCUGAGCCUAAAACCUCAGCCCCCUUA
rnacentral:tRNA from 1 species